rnacentral:rRNA from 1 species
AUCGAACGCUGGCGGCAGGCUUAACACAUGCAAGUCGAACGAGUGGCGGACGGGCGAGUAAUGCUUGGGAAUCUAGCUUAUGGAGGGGGAUAACUAUGGGAAACUGUAGCUAAUACCGCGUACCAUAGGAUGAGCCCAAGUGGGAUUAGGUAGUUGGUGAGGUAAAGGCUCACCAAGCCGACGAUCUCUAACUGGUCUGAGAGGAUGACCAGCCACAAUGAGACUGAGGCACGGCCCAGACUCCGACGGGAGGCAGCCAUGGGGAAUAUUACGCAAUGGGGGCAACCUGACGCAGCCAUGCCGCGUGAAUGAAGAAGGCCUUCGGGUUGUAAAGUUCUUUCGGUAGCGAGGCGUUAUCUACAGAAGAAGCACCGGCUAAAUCCGUGCCAGCAGCCGCGGUAAUAC